GAUGAACGCUGGCGGCGUGCUUAACACAUGCAAGUCGAACGAAGCACUUUAUUUGAUUUCCUUCGGGACUGAUUAUUUUGUGACUGAGUGGCGGACGGGUGAGUAACUCGUGGGUAACCUGCCUUGUACAGGGGGAUAACAGUUGGAAACGGCUGCUAAUACCGCAUAAGCGCCCAGCAUCGCAUGAUGCAGUGUGAAAAAAUCCGGUGGUAUAAGAUGGACCCGCGUUGGAUUAGCUAGUUGGUGAGGUAACGGCCCACCAAGGCGACGAUCCAUAGCCGACCUGAGAGGGUGACCGGCCACAUUGGGACUGAGACACGGCCCAAACUCCUACGGGAGGCAGCAGUGGGGAAUAUUGCACAAUGGGCGAAAGCCUGAUGCAGCGACGCCGCGUGAGCGAAGAAGUAUUUCGGUAUGUAAAGCUCUAUCAGCAGGGAAGAUAAUAACGGUACCUGACUAAGAAGCACCGGCUAAAUACGUG
rnacentral:rRNA from 1 species